CUGGUGUAACGGUGAAAUGUGUAGAUAUCAGGAGGAACACCCGUGGCGAAGGCGGGUUGCUGGACCAAAACUGACGCUGAGACGCGAAAGCGUGGGUAGCAAACAGGAUUAGAUACCCUGGUAGUCCACGCUGUAAACGAUGAGUGCUAGGUGUAGGGGGUAUCGACUCCUUCUGUGCCGCAGUUAACGCAUUAAGCACUCCGCCUGGGGAGUACGGCCGCAAGGUUAAAACUCAAAGGAAUUGACGGGGGCCCGCACAAGCGGUGGAGUAUGUGGUUUAAUUCGAUGAUACGCGAGAAACCUUACCUGGUCUUGACAUGUAGAGAACCCUUAAGAGAUUAGGGGGUGCCUGCUUGCAGGAGCUCUAACACAGGUGGUGCAUGGUUGUCGUCAGCUCGUGUCGUGAGAUGUUGGGUUAAGUCCCGCAACGAGCGCAACCCU
rnacentral:rRNA from 1 species